rnacentral:rRNA from 1 species
AUCGAAKGGGGAGAUUCAUCGUCAGCGAUCCUGUUGCACGUGUGCGGUUCGUGAUGCCGGAGACCUCGGUCUCGCGGCACGCGUCCGUGCGGUUUUAUUGCCGGGUGUCGUCGGCGUGCACUUCUCCCCUAGUAGGACGUCGCGACCCGUUGGGUGUCGGUUUACGACCCGGGUGGGCGCCUGUCGCGUGUUACGCUUUAUCGCGUCAUGCGCGGCAGACCCCCGGCCGUCUGACCGGCUGCUCGGCGGUACUCGCACGGUAUCGGGCCGCAWGUAUUCGAACUGCGUCCGGCCCGCCGCAAGCGAGGCCAGUGCCCCCGGAUGUUACGGACCUCGUGCCGUCACCGGGCCUGGCCAGCUGUUGGUCGGUGGUGUCCUGGGACUGGCUCUACAUUAAAAUUAUGAUACCGGUCGGCGACGCUACUGCUUUGGGUACUUUCAGGACCCGUCUUGAAACACGGACCAAGGAGUCUAACAUGUGCGCGAGUCAUUGGGAACUAUUAAGCCUAAAGGCGCAAUGAAAGUGAAGGUCACAGCCUCGUGCCGACCGAGGGAGGAUGGGCCGCGUCACGAUGCGGUCCCGCACUCCCGGGGCGUCUCGUUCUCAUUGCGAGAAGAGGCGCACCCAGAGCGUACA